AUUGAACGCUGGCGCCAGGCUUAACACAUGCAAGUCGAGCGGGGUGAUGGUGCUUGCACUAUCACUUAGCGGCGGACGGGUGAGUAAUGCUUAGGAAUCUGCCUAUUAGUGGGGGACAACAUCUCGAAAGGGAUGCUAAUACCGCAUACGUCCUACGGGAGAAAGCAGGGGAUCACUUGUGACCUUGCGCUAAUAGAUGAGCCUAAGUCGGAUUAGCUAGUUGGUGGGGGAAAGGCCUACCAAGGCGACGAUCUGUAGCGGGUCUGAGAGGAUGGUCCGCCACACUGGGACUGAGACACGGCCAGAAUCCUACGGGAGGCGGCAGUGGGGAAUAUUGGACAAUGGGGGGAACCCUGAUCCAGCCAUGCCGCGUGUGUGAAGAAGGCCUUAUGGUUGUAAAGCACUUUAAGCGAGGAGGAGGCUCUUUUGGUUAAUACCCAAGAUGAGUGGACGUUACUCGCAGAAUAAGCACCGGCUAACUCUGUGCCAGCAGCCGCCGUAA
rnacentral:rRNA from 1 species